GAAAUGCGAUAAGUAGUGUGAAUUGCAGAAUUCAGUGAAUCAUCGAAUCUUUGAACGCGCAUUGCGCCCUAUGGUAUUCCGUAGGGCAUGCCUGUUCGAGCGUCAUUUACACCUUCAAGCCUUGCUUGGUGUUGGGUGACUGUGGCCCCUUUGGGGCCACUCGCCUUAAAGUCAUUGGCGGCCGGUUCGUUGGCUUUGUAGCGCAGCACAAUUGCGUCCUCGAAGCCGCUGGACCAGCUCCCAGAAGCUAAUUUUAAAUGUUUGACCUCGAAUCAGGUAGGGAUACCCGCUGAACUUAAGC
rnacentral:misc_RNA from 1 species